rnacentral:rRNA from 1 species
UUGUUGGGGGAUUAGUGGCGAACGGGUGAGUAACACGUGAGUAACCUGCCCUUAACUCUGGGAUAAGCCUGGGAAACUGGGUCUAAUACCGGAUAUGACUCCUCAUCGCAUGUGUGGGGGGUGGAAAGCUUUAUUGUGCUUUUUGGAUGGACUCGCGGCCUAUCAGCUUGUUGGUGAGGUAAUGGCUCACCAAGGCGACGACGGGUAGCCGGCCUGAGAGGGUGACCUGGCCACACUGGGACUGAGACACGGCCCAGACUCCUACGGGAGGCAGCAGUGGGGAAUAUUGCACAAUGGGCGAAAGCCUGAUGCAGCGACGCCGCGUGAGGGAUGACGGCCUUCGGGUUGUAAACCUCUUUCAGUAGGGAAGAAGCGAAAGUGACGGUACCUGCAGAAGAAGCGCCGGCUAACUACGUGCCAGCAGCCGCGGUAAUACGUAGGGCGCAAGCGUUAUCCGGAAUUAUUGGGCGUAAAGAGCUCGUAGGCGGUUUGUCGCGUCUGCCGUGAAAGUCCGGGGCUCAACUCCGGAUCUGCGGUGGGUACGGGCAGACUAGAGUGAUGUAGGGAGACUGGAAUUCCUGGUGUAGCGGUGAAAUGGGCAGAUAUCAGGAGGAACACCGAUGGCGAAGGCAGGUCUCUGGGCAUUAACUGACGCUGAGGAGCGAAAGCAUGGGGAGCGAACAGGAUUAGAUACCCUGGUAGUCCAUGCCGUAAACGUG